UCUUGGUCAUUUAGAGGAAGUAAAAGUCGUAACAAGGUCUCCGUUGGUGAACCAGCGGAGGGAUCAUUACAGAGUUGCAAACUCCCUAAACCAUUGUGAACGUUACCUAAACCGUUGCUUCGGCGGGCGGCGCGCCCUCGCGCGCGCCCCUGGGCCCCACCGCGGGCGCCCGCCGGAGGUCACCAAACUCUUGAUAUUAAUUGGCCUCUCUGAGUCUUCUGUACUGAAUAAGUCAAAACUUUCAACAACGGAUCUCUUGGUUCUGGCAUCGAUGAAGAACGCAGCGAAAUGCGAUAAGUAAUGUGAAUUGCAGAAUUCAGUGAAUCAUCGAAUCUUUGAACGCACAUUGCGCCCGCCAGUAUUCUGGCGGGCAUGCCUGUUCGAGCGUCAUUUCAACCAUCAAGCCCCCGGCUUGUGUUGGGGACCUGCGGCUGCCCGCAGGCCCUGAAAACCAGUGGCGGGCUCGCUAGUCACACCGAGCGUAGUAGCAUACAUCUCGCUCAGGGCGUGCUGCGGGUUCCGGCCGUUAAACGACCUUCAUAACCCAAGGUUGACCUCGGAUCAGGUAGGAAGACCCGCUGAACUUAAGCAUAUCAAUAAGCG
rnacentral:rRNA from 1 species